rnacentral:rRNA from 1 species
GAAUUUUGGACAAUGGGCGAAAGCCUGAUCCAGCAAUGCCGCGUGCAGGAUGAAGGCCUUCGGGUUGUAAACUGCUUUUGUACGGAACGAAAAGUCUCGGGAUAAUACCCUGGGACCAUGACGGUACCGUAAGAAUAAGCACCGGCUAACUCUGUGCCAGCAGCCGCGGUAAUACAGAGGGUGCAAGCGUUAAUCGGAAUUACUGGGCGUAAAGCGCGCGUAGGUGGUUCGUUAAGUUGGAUGUGAAAUCCCCGGGCUCAACCUGGGAACUGCCUUUGUGACUGCAGGGCUAGAGUACGGCAGAGGGGGGUGGAAUUCCGCGUGUAGCAGUGAAAUGCGUAGAUAUGCGGAGGAACACCGAUGGCGAAGGCAACCCCCUGGGCCUGUACUGACGCUCAUGCACGAAAGCGUGGGGAGCAAACAG